AUCCUUGAACCACCAGUUCCUGUACGAUCACCGAAGUUAAGCAACGUCGAACCUGGUCAGCACCGAGAUGGGUAACCACUUGGGAAUACCAGGUGCUGUAA